UUAUAUCAUAUAUUUCAUAUUGUAUGUUGUGUGUUACAACACCACAACAUAUAAAAAUAAAUUGUAAUAUAAAAAAUAUACUAAAGUUGUGACUAUGUACAACACCUGGACACAUGUCUACAGAGCAAAAAUUUUUACUGAAAUAUCUACGAUAUCAUUGAAAAAUAUUUACUUUCUACUAAUGGAUAUUGUUGUGGAAAUAAUAAUGAAAUACGACAAUGACUAGAAGAUAAAACCUUUUGGAUCAGUACUACGGAUAUUAUUCUCAUUUUUAAUCUUUGCCAAAUGGGAGAAUACGCCGAGAAAUGACUGAUACUAAAAAUAGCUGCACCUACACCUCACCAACAGUCAGAAUUUUAAUUUGUUAAUAGCUUCUGAAAUAUUAUUCUAAAAUAUAUUAUCAACUGUCGUAAUAUGAUCAAUGCUUUGCA